rnacentral:rRNA from 1 species
UACGGAGGGUGCAAGCGUUAUCCGGAUUCACUGGGUUUAAAGGGUGCGUAGGUGGGUUGGUAAGUCAGUGGUGAAAUCUCCGGGCUUAACCCGGAAACUGCCAUUGAUACUAUUUGUCUUGAAUACUGUGGAGGUCAGCGGAAUAUGUCAUGGUAGCGGUGAAAUGCUUAGAUAUGACAUAGAACACCAAUUGCGAAGGCAGCUGGCUACACAAAUAUUGACACUGAGGCACGAAAGCGUGGGGAUCAAACAGGG